rnacentral:rRNA from 1 species
AUAGAGACUCAGAGCUGCAUAUCAAUAAGCGGAGGAAAAGAAACUAACAAGGAUUCCCCUAGUAACGGCGAGUGAAGCGGGAGGAGCUCAAAUUUGAAAUCUUCAAGGGUUUCCCUUGACGAAUUGUAGUUUAAAGAAGUGUUAUCUGUUAGAGAGGUGGUAAAAGUUCUUUGGAAUAGGACAUCAUAGAGGGUGAGAAUCCCGUAUUUGACCAUUACUUCCAGCGUUGUGAUACACUUUCAAAGAGUCGGAUUGUUUGGGAAUGCAGUCCAAAAUGGGUGGUAAAUUUCAUCUAAAGCUAAAUAUUGGCGAGAGACCGAUAGCGAACAAGGUACCGUGAGGGAAAGAUGAAAAGAACUUUGAAAAGAGAGUUAAACAGUACGUGAAAUUGUCAAAAGGGAAGCGUUUGACACCAGUGUUGUUUAGUUGAAAAUCAAUUUCAAUAAGUUUUUGAUUUUAAGUAGUAUUUGACUUUCAUCAGCUUGCUGCUUUUUUCUCUGAAAUUAUUGAAUGCACUUUUCAGUUAACAAGUCAACAUCAGUUUCUUUUGUUGUAAAAAGGUGAGAGGAAGGAGGCUUGCGCUUCGGCUCAAGUGUUUAUAGCCUUUUACCCCUGCAAUCGAAGAGAUUGAGGUCUGCAGCGUAGAUCCUUCGGGGUUAGAUACAUUUGUGCUAAGUUGUAGCUUUUCAUAGACAACUUGUUGACUAUGUUUAGUCAUGCGGCUUACUCGCUUAUGCUAUUUUACCUACGCUUAGGAUGUUGAAGUCAUCGUAUCGCGC